rnacentral:rRNA from 1 species
AUACGUAGGGUGCGAGCGUUGUCCGGAAUUACUGGGCGUAAAGAGCUCGUAGGUGGUUUGUCGCGUCGUCUGUGAAAUUCCGGGGCUUAACUCCGGGCGUGCAGGCGAUACGGGCAUAACUUGAGUACUGUAGGGGAGACUGGAAUUCCUGGUGUAGCGGUGAACUGCGCAGAUAUCAGGAGGAACACCGGUGGCGAAGGCGGGUCUCUGGGCAGUAACUGACGCUGAGGAGCGAAAGCAUGGGUAGCGAACAGGAUUAGAUACCCUGGUAGUCCAUGCCGUAAACGGUGGGCGCUAGGUGUAGGGGUCUUCCACGACUUCUGUGCCGUAGCUAACGCAUUAAGCGCCCCGCCUGGGGAGUACGGCCGCAAGGCUAAAACUCAAAGGAAUUGACGGGG